UACGUAGGUGACAAGCGUUGUCCGGAUUUACUGGGCGUAAAGAGCGCGUAGGCGGCCCGAUAAGUCCGCUGUGAAAGUCCAGGGCUCAACCCUGGAAUGCCAGUGGAUACUGUCGGGCUAGAGUACGGAAGAGGCGAGUGGAAUUCCUGGUGUAGCGGUGGAAUGCGCAGAUAUCAGGAGGAACACCAAUAGCGAAGGCAGAUCUCUGGGCCGUAACUGACGCUGAGGAGCGGAAGCAUGGGGAGCGAACAGG
rnacentral:rRNA from 1 species